GGCUGCGGAGGCGGGGUCCCGGGGCCGUCACGGCCCUCGACCCCGCCCUGCCCCGCCCUUGUCACACGGGGUGGCGCGGGGUGAGUGGGGACCCCCAGAGGCCGCGCGCCUGCUCCGAGCACCACGGACCGGGAGGCUGAGAGCGGCCCCCCCGGGGUCCCCUGCUGUCCGGUGCUGCCUCCGCCCUGGCGCCGCACCCUGGAGUCACCUUUGACUCUGAAUUCUCCGCACGGAAGGACCUGGCUCACCUGGGGACACCCUUGUAUAUUAUGGACGAGGAGGGUGUGAGGCUCGGGGCUGGGGAGGAAACGGAGAGACCAGGAACAGGCCGAGGAUCUCCCACCGCCCGGUGUAGCCACCCACCAUGGUAGAAGCUACAUUUUUCGGAGGAGGAAGAGGCACAGAAGUCAGUCCCGGUGGGACCCCCGCCCCCCCACAUUCCCAGGAGGAAGCUCUCCCGGCCCAGCUGCCUCCGGGUUAACUAGGAUGAAGGUCUCCAGUCUGUCCUGAAACACAGCCGGCCCGGGACGCACUGAGCGCUGUGCAUGUGGACACCCCGCUUUCACCGAUCCCGAACGCUUGUGAGGAGGCCAGGUCCUCCCCACACAGGCAUGGGGAACACCCCAGCGCACAAAGAUUCUCACUACAUGACCCAAGAUGGCCUUGAACUUGCAAUGAACCUCCUGCCUCAGCCUCCGAAGCGCUGGAAUUUUCGGCACAGCGCUGGACUCUGAUCAAUAAUCAAAUAAGUAAGUUCCAAAGGAUUCUCUUUUACUCACUGUCAUACCCAGAACCCAGCCCAGGACCCGCCACACGGCAGAACUCAGUAAAGAUGGGUUAGGAAGGAGCUCUUACGGGGUCGGCUGGAGAGUCAGGCUUUGAGGCCAGGUUGAGCAACAGUGUGGACCUUGUCUCAUUAACAACGACCAGAAAGAAUGAACAAAGCGAUGGAAUGACCGACCCAUUGCGCCUUUGAUAAACGGGGAUGUUUUGUUUCUCUGAAAAGAGUCCUUAGAGCUGGAGGCUUUGUUUGUGAGCCAGGCCUGGCGCAGUUAGUGACCAAGAACUGUGCUUAAGGCUUAAAGCGACCCCAGGAGCAGAGUGGCUGAGUUCCUCACAGGACCACUCAGCACAGGCCAAACCAAACAGGAACAACGGCUCUGGGAUGCUUGAGGUGGGAAUGGAGACGGCGAAGGUCACCAUUUUCAUCUGGCUCUCCAGGUUCUUCCGUAUAUCAUAUUUACUUUGAGCCCUGUGCUAUAUUCCCAGAGGAUUUGGGGUAAAAGCAGAAGUUGGCUUGUUUAUCGGUGACACUGUCCAUGUGGACUAACGCGUGGCAGAAGCAUUUCAGAGGGUUGUGGCUAAUUGUUCCUCACACACAUGGGCUGGGCCGGGGCGAGGGCAACGCGGCUUUCAGGGAGACGUCCUGGGACUGUGCCAAUUGGCCCUGCGGUCCACCCCUCCUCAUGAGACCCGGCACAGCUGCGGCCCGUGUCUGGACGAAGGGCCCAGGGAAAAGGCAGCGGGCAGAGUCCCAGAGGCAAGAGGCUCUGACAACCCCUUGGGGGCCCAGAGGGAAGCAGAAGGCAGAAGCAGAAGCACAAGGUGGCCUGAAGGGACCCUCUGGCCCUCGUCAAGCUCUAGCCCUCACUUAGAGGCCUUUGGUCACAGAGCUCUGAGCCGUCGGGUCUCUGAGGACGGGCUGGAGUUCCGAACACUCUGACGAUUGCAGUUGAUGUCCAUUUGCUGUUCAAAAUAAAACAGUAUAAACUAUAACAUAAGUGUAAGAGGGUCAAUAAAGUUCAGAUUU